GGGGGUGAUUGGUCUCGACUUCGGUCGUGGCAUCAGGGGAAGCGGGCCGAGGAAGGCAACGAUGAGCUCGUUAACCACGCGUUGCAAAACACACAAGCGCCGACUCCAGUCAGCGCGACUUCGCACUCGCUGCCUAAGCAGCCAGUGUGAGUCUGUCAGCCCGGGUUCUGCCAUCGGCCCGGAUCCUGGCAUCAGCUAGAUGGCUCCACCGUGCGGAUCGGCCGCGGAUCUGCACGGGACACCACACAGCGGCUGGGCCUGUCGUCCUGACUUGUUCGUGUGAUCAGGAAGGCCAAGCAGGGACAGAGCGGACUGCGCUCGGAGAAGCCCUGGUGAUGCGUCGAAGGACGCGGGUUCGAUUCCCGCCACCUCCACCA
rnacentral:tmRNA from 2 species